rnacentral:tRNA from 1 species
AGCCCGUUGGUGAAGUGAUUAACACACAUGCCUCUCAAGCAUGCAUUCGCUGGGUUUGAAUCCCGCACGGGUUACCA